GACGAACGCUGGCGGCGUGCUUAACACAUGCAAGUCGAACGGAAAGGCCCUGCUUUUGUGGGGUGCUCGAGUGGCGAACGGGUGCGUAACACGUGAGUAACCUGCCCUUGACUUUGGGAUAACUUCAAGAAACUGGGGCUAAUACCGGAUAGGAGCUCCUGCUGCAUGGUGGGGGUUGGAAAGUUUCGGCGGUUGGGGAUGGACUCGCGGCUUAUCAGCUUGUUGGUGGGGUAGUGGCUUACCAAGGCUUUGACGGGUAGCCGGCCUGAGAGGGUGACCGGCCACAUUGGGACUGAGAGACGGCCCAGACUCCUACGUGAGGCAGCAGUGGGGAAUAUUGCACAAUGGGCGGAAGCCUGAUGCAGCAACGCCGCGUGCGGGAUGACGGCCUUCGGGUUGUAAACCGCUUUCGCCUGUGACGAAGCGUGGGUGACGGUAAUGGGUAAAGAAGCACCGGCUAACUACGUG
rnacentral:rRNA from 1 species